rnacentral:rRNA from 1 species
GACGAACGCUGGCGGCGUGCCUAAUACAUGCAAGUCGAGCGAAUCAAUAGGAGCUUGCUCCUGUUGGUUAGCGGCGGACGGGUGAGUAACACGUGGGCAACCUGCCUGUAAGACUGGGAUAACACCGGGAAACCGGUGUUAAUACCGGAUAAUCCUUUUCCUCUCAUGAGGAAAAGCUGAAAGUCGGUUUCGGCUGACACUUACAGAUGGGCCCGCGGCGCAUUAGCUAGUUGGUGAGGUAACGGCUCACCAAGGCGACGAUGCGUAGCCGACCUGAGAGGGUGAUCGGCCACACUGGGACUGAGACACGGCCCAGACUCCUACGGGAGGCAGCAGUAGGGAAUCUUCCACAAUGGACGAAAGUCUGAUGGAGCAACGCCGCGUGAGCGAUGAAGGCCUUCGGGUCGUAAAGCUCUGUUGUUAGGGAAGAACAAGUACCGGAGUAACUGCCGGUACCUUGACGGUACCUAACCAGAAAGCCACGGCUAACUACGUGCCAGCCGCCGCAGUAACAC